CUCCAGACUCCUACGGGAGGCAGCAGUGAGGAAUAUUGGUCAAUGGGCGGAAGCCUGAACCAGCCAAGUCGCGUGAGGGAAGAAGGCCCUGCGGGUCGCAGACCUCUUUGGACGGGGAGCAAGGCCGCCGACGUGUCGGCGGAAGGAGAGUACCCGUAGAACAAGCAUCGGCUAACUCCGUGCCAGCAGCCGCGGUAAUACGGAGGAUGCGAGCGUUAUCCGGAUUUAUUGGGUUUAAAGGGUGCGCAGGCGGCACGGCAAGCCGGCGGUCAAAUCGCGGGGCUCAACCCCGCCCAGCCGUCGGAACUGCCGGGCUAGAGUGGGCGAGAAGUGCGCGGAAUGCGUGGUGUAGCGGUGAAAUGCAUAGAUAUCACACAGAACACCGAUUGCGAAGGCAUCUGACGAAUCGGAGAUUGACGCUGAUGCACGAAAGCGUGGGUAUCGAACAGGAUUAGAUACCCCCGUAGU
rnacentral:rRNA from 1 species